UUAUUUUAUUUCAAAUAUAAAUCUAAACUAUAUUUAAAUAUAAAAUCUUCCAAAAAAAAUAUUUAGACAUUAUUCCCAACAAUACAAUCAAUGAUCUGACAACAUUUUAUGUAUGAUAAGCACAAGUACAAAAAGUGAUUCAAAUUAAUACAAUAAAAAAGGGUACUUUUAAAACAACAAAUUGAAAUCAAAGAAUAAAAGAAAACAUAAGUAUAUGGUAUCAUGAAUUAAUAACAACAUCUAUUAAACCCAUUGGUGAAAAUAUUGUCUAUUUUCUCCUUCCAAAGACAUUCCCCAUGGUUGGAAGUUUAACCCCAGUAGUGGUAGAGGAUGAUGAUGUUGAUGAUGGCCUAGUGGUUGGACAAAGAAUUUUUUGAAUGUUUGGAUUGUUAGAACUCAUGGUGCAAUUCACAAAUAGCUUAUAAAAUUCAAGUUUUGAAUGAAAGAUAUCUAUCUAUCAAUGAAAAACAAGCUUUUUUUUAUUUUUUGGUUACAGGUAAACAAGCUUGUUUAUGAGAGAAAAUGUUAACAAAUAU
rnacentral:lncRNA from 1 species